rnacentral:rRNA from 1 species
CAGCAGCCGCGGUAAUACGUAGGGUGCAAGCGUUAAUCGGAAUUACUGGGCGUAAAGCGUGCGCAGGCGGUUCUAUAAGACAGAUGUGAAAUCCCCGGGCUCAACCUGGGAACUGCAUUUGUGACUGGCGAGCUAGAGUAUGGCAGAGGGGGGUAGAAUUCCACGUGUAGCAGUGAAAUGCGUAGAGAUGUGGAGGAAUACCGAUGGCGAAGGCAGCCCCCUGGGCCAAUACUGACGCUCAUGCACGAAAGCGUGGGGAGCAAACAGGAUUAGAUACCCGUGUAGUCCCUGUCUCUUAUAC